UACGUAGGGUGCGAGCGUUGUCCGGAAUUAUUGGGCGUAAAGAGCUCGUAGGCGGCUUGUCGCGUCGGAUGUGAAAGCCCGGGGCUUAACUCCGGGUCUGCAUUCGAUACGGGCAGGCUAGAGUUCGGUAGGGGAGAUCGGAAUUCCUGGUGUAGCGGUGAAAUGCGCAGAUAUCAGGAGGAACACCGGUGGCGAAGGCGGGUCUCUGGGCCGUAACUGACGCUGAGGAGCGAAAGCAUGGGUAGCGAACAGG
rnacentral:rRNA from 1 species